rnacentral:rRNA from 1 species
AACGUAGGGGGCGAGCGUUGUCCGGAAUUACUGGGCGUAAAGCGUGCGUAGGCGGUUGGCUAAGUCAGAUGUGAAAGCCCUGGGCUCAACCUGGGAAUGGCAUUUGAAACUGGCCGGCUAGAGUGUGAUAGAGGAUGGCGGAAUUCCCGGUGUAGCGGUGAAAUGCGUAGAGAUCGGGAGGAACAUCCGUGGCGAAGGCGGCCAUCUGGAUCAACACUGACGCUGAGGCACGAAAGCGUGGGGAGCAAACAGG